CACAUCUAUUGGUUUGAAAUUCCACAGGAGACUAGAAAUGAACAAAUUAUCUGAGGAUGUGUCUUCGUUUGUAAAUUGCCUUAGUCUUUCUUUGAUGCGAGAGAAGGUCAAACACAAGAGAGUACAAGCAACAAAAGAAUCUGGUAGCAAACCGCAAGAUGCUAUUAAGCAGAACCAACAAUAGCCAGAUAUGACUGAACUCGCCAAGGGUCUCCCAAGUAAUUGGCAGCAUUCCCAAUUGGAUCCAUCAGACGUCCUUCAUCUGAAACAAACUGAGCUCAAUGCAUUUCUAGAAGGCUUGUAUGCAACGCCAACAAACCGAAUAAACACUUCGUCCAUACCGGUCAUUCCACCGAACCCCAUUGAAGACAACAAAAUAGAGGACAUACUAAGGAAGCUUGUCAAUUUCUCAUGCCAACGUUAUCUUUCUCAACAUUGUAACUCAUC